AAGUUGCGUAUCGUCAUCGUGUCAAUGGCGUCCUAAAAUGUUUGGGGAUAAUGCUGUUCUAUGACGGAUUGAAGGUCGUUUUAUUUCGCGAACGAAGACGGAAAUGUUUUACCUGAGGAUUGGAGCAGGGUUUUAGUGUUUUCUCUUGCCAUUUGAAGCGAGAAACACAUUUUACUGUGAAGAAAUGAACCGACUGGAACCGAAUGCGGUUUGAUGCUUCUUGCCUGAAACAGUUGCCGCUCCUCAGGAUCAGGAUUGUAAUUGAAUCACAAGCCAUGGAUGUGAGGAACUCAGGCGGUCUGAUCUGGUGCUUUGGCUGAGUUCACAUCUCUGGCAUCAUCUUCAUCCUCCUCCUCCUCCUCCUCCUCUCCAUGAAGGAACCAGGUGCUAAAGGAAGGUCAAACAAUCACAGGCCUCGGAAAAUACCCUUCUGUGUGUCACACAAUAUGAGCAUCUACAGGUUACGGUUGGCGUCAUCAUUAGCAGGUCUGUGUCAGCCAGCAGCCCAGAGGGAGUUCAGAGAGGACCUGAGCUGUGAGAUGAGGUGAAAGCAGCCCAUAUUCCCUCAGUGACGGAGCGGCAAUUACCCCAAACUGUGAGUGCGUCCUCCUACCGGCCGCAGGAACAAUGGACUGUCUGUCAGUGGCGGUGUUGCCCAAGCAGAACAGAUGUGUGUGGACACGCGAGACAAUGGCGUGGCUGGAUAAGUGGGUUCCUGAUCUCCGAGGCAGGGGGGUCGGGGGGGACGGCAGCUUGUGUCCGAGACGCCUCCGUGGGGCGAGGGAGAAAUC
rnacentral:lncRNA from 1 species